CGAAGGAAAAAGGGCCCUGGUCCCAGUUCGCCCCAUGAAUACAAAGGUCCAUCUUUCAGAGAUGAGUACUCGUUUACCUAUUGUAGGAACAGAUAAUUGGACUAGUAAAGUAAAGGAACAGUGUUUUUACUCUCAGUAAGUGAACAUCAUAUGCAGAAAGUUUUGGUGUGCACAUACCGGCCUUUGUUCAAAAGGGACCUCAAUUUCCAGGCCAGGCUCCCAGCUCCGGCCUGGGAAGCUGUUGCUCAUACCGCCAUCCAUCUCAUCUUUUAAGGCCCUGACAGAAAACCCCGGAGGCAGCCUCUGUCCUCUAUGAUACUUAUCUAAACAUGAGCCAUAGCUGCUUCCAAGCUUGAUAUGUCUUGGACUAGGAAUAUUUAGAGAGCAAUAAACAUUUAGUCUAAGCAUCUACUUCCAGAAGUUGAUACAGCAGCCUAAUCUGUUCAGUACGUUUUAUGAACAGGCAAAGAGAAGGAACAAAUGAUCCUGAGUUCACUUCUUAAAAAGGGCAUACGGGUUAGAUUCAUUUGGGUCCAUGCAUAAUUUAUGUGGAUCAAAACCAAGCAUAGAAAUACAUUUUGUCUA